rnacentral:lncRNA from 12 species
UUUUCUGAUGGGAAAACCAAGAAAUUCAGAGUUGAGGGGUUCUUUCUCUUGUCACCAGUUGUUGACAUUACAUUGAUUUACUUUAAGCAAUGGCUUUAUUUCUGGUCCAUUUUAUUCCCAGGCAUUUAUUUAUUGUUUUAACUGUGCUUUCUAUUCUUUGUUCCCAGCAGUUUUCAUGAACCUGAGUUCCUCCUGGCCCAGACAGAACCUCUUGGAUGCAACUCUCAGAGGUUGAUGUGUCUGGUGGAUUCUUUGUGCAGUGGUCAUGUGUGGACAGAUGUGACUUCUUUUGCAUUCUGACCAGUGAAGCUUAUAGCAAGCGCUCUCAGAUGAAUGCCAAGAAAAUACACCGAACGCCAAAGAGAUAGAUCCCCGUGUAUUGGAGCAAUAUUACAUAACAGGUCGUGGCUGAAAAAAUUGGACCAACACUGGGUAGAGUAUCAAUCAUGCGUUUCCAUAAUCUGCAAUAAAUUUUGCCUUAGUGAUUUCUGA